rnacentral:rRNA from 1 species
GAUGAACGCUGGCGGCGUGCCUAAUACAUGCAAGUCGAGCGAACAGACGAGGAGCUUGCUCCUCUGACGUUAGCGGCGGACGGGUGAGUAACACGUGGAUAACCUACCUAUAAGACUGGGAUAACUUCGGGAAACCGGAGCUAAUACCGGAUAAUAUAUUGAACCGCAUGGUUCAAUAGUGAAAGACGGUUUUGCUGUCACUUAUAGAUGGAUCCGCGCCGCAUUAGCUAGUUGGUAAGGUAACGGCUUACCAAGGCGACGAUGCGUAGCCGACCUGAGAGGGUGAUCGGCCCAACUGGAACUGAGACACGGUCCAGACUCCUACGGGGGGCAGCAGUAGGGAAUCUUCCGCAAUGGGCGAAAGCCUGACGGAGCAACGCCGCGUGAUUGAUGAAGGUCUUCGGAUCUUAAAACUCUGUUAUUAGGGAAGAACAAAUGUGUAAGUAACUAUGCACGUCUUGACGGUACCUAAUCAGAAAGCCACGGCUAACUACGUG